rnacentral:misc_RNA from 1 species
UACGAACUGUGCGAACGUUAUUCGGAAUCACUGGGCUUAAAGGGUGCGUAGGCGGCCUCCUAAGUCAGGUGUGAAAGCCCUCGGCUCAACCGAGGAAUUGCGCUUGAGACUGGGUCGCUAGAGUGAGGCAGGGGUGUGCGGAACUUCCAGUGGAGCGGUGAAAUGUGUUGAUAUUGGAAGGAACGCCAGCAGCGAAAGCGGCACACUGGGCCUUAUCUGACGCUGAGGCACGAAAGCCAGGGUAGCGAACGGG